rnacentral:rRNA from 1 species
AGCAGCCGCGGUAAUUCCAGCUCCAAUAGCGUAUAUAAAGUUGUUGCAGUUAAAAGCUCUAGUUGAAUUUUUCGGGUUAGUAGGGUUGGUCAUGCUGCGCGUAUGUACUGGGUCUCACGAUUUCCUCCUUUCCUGAUGAGCGUGAUGCAAUUUAAUUUGGGUCAGUUGCAUGGGAAUUUGUACAGGUAAUGUUAGAUUGCAAAAUUGAUUGAACGUUUUGGUUAAAAAAGCAUUGCAAGUGUUUCGAAGCAUUGGGAACUUAACGCAUUUGAAUG